CAGCUCAAGUGGUGAUCACGUUUAUUGGGUUUAAAGGGUGCGUAGUCGGUUCAGCAAGUUUUCUGUGAAUUCCUGCAGCUUAACUGUAGGGAUUGCAGAAAAUACUACUGGGCUAGAGGCCGGGUUAGGCGUGGGGUAUUCUAGGGGUAGCGGUGAAAUGCUAUAAUCCCUGGAGGACCACCAGUAGCGAAGGCGCCACGCUGGAACGGGCCUGACGAUGAGGCACGAGAGCUAGGGGAGCGAACAGGAUUAGAUACCCUGGUAGUCCUAGCCGUAAACGAUGUGGGUUUAGUGUUUCCUGAACCUCGUGUUCAGGAAGUGCUGAAGGGAAACCGUUAAACCCACCACCUGGGGAGUACGGUCGCAAGGCUGAAACUUAAAGGAAUUGGCGGGGGAACACCACAAGGGGUGGAUGCUGCGGUUCAAUUGGAUACAACGCCGGGAAACUUACCAAGCGCGACGGCACUAUGAAGGUCAGGCUAGAGGUCUUACCGAAGGAGCCGAGAGGUAGUGCAUGGCCGCCGCCAGCUCGUACCGUGAGGCGUACGGUUAAGUCCGUUAACGAGCGAGACCCGCACCAUUAUUUGCAACCUCCAAGGAGACUUGGGGGGCACUAUAGUGGGACUGCAGGCGAUGAGUCUGAGGAAGGCGCGGGCGACGGUAGGUCAGUAUGCUCCGAAUCGCUUGGGCUACACGCGGCAUACAAUGGCAUGCACAAUGGGUUGCAACGCCGAAAGGUGGAGCUAAUCCCCUAAAACAUGUCUCAGUACAGAUUGAGGGUUGAAACUCACCCUCAUGAAGGUGAAAUCCCUAGUAAUCGCUGGUUACUAUCCAGCGGUGAAUAUGUCCCUGUUCCUUGCACACACCGCCCGUCAAACCAAUCGAGUGGAUUCGAGAUGAGGUACUCUCAUAUUUGGGAGUUC
rnacentral:rRNA from 1 species